UACAGAGGUCUCGAGCGUUAGGCGGAAUCACUGGGCUUAAAGCGUGUGUAGGCGGAUCGUUAAGUACCUUGUGAAAUCCCAUGGCUCAACCAUGGAACUGCUUGGUAUACUGGCGAUCUUGUGCAACCUAGGGGCGAGCGGAACAGAUGGUGGAGCGGUGAAAUGCGUAGAUAUCAUCUGGAACGCCAAUGGUGAAAACAGCUCGCUGGGGGUUUGCAGACGCUGAGACACGAAAGCCAGGGGAGCGAACGGG
rnacentral:rRNA from 1 species